GUCUCAGUUCAGAUUGCAGGCUGCAACUCGCCUGCAUGAAGUCGGAAUUGCUAGUAAUCGUAGGUCAGCAUACUACGGUGAAUACGUUCCCGGGCCUUGUACACACCGCCCGUCAAACCAUGAGAGUUGGCAACACCCGAAGUCGGUAGCCUAACCGCAAGGAGGACGCCGCCGAAGGUGGGGUUGAUGAUUAGGGUUAAGUCGUAACAAGGUAGC
rnacentral:rRNA from 1 species